AUCAACUGAAGCACAGGAAGUACUUCAGGAUCACGGAUGAUCGACCAUCGCAAGGAACGCUUCCGACAGGGAGUCGACCAUGGUCUUGGGAAAACCCGCUUCGGCGGGUUUUUU
rnacentral:sRNA from 1 species